rnacentral:rRNA from 1 species
UACGUAGGGCGCAAGCGUUGUCCGGAAUUAUUGGGCGUAAAGCGCGCGCAGGCGGUUCCUUAAGUCUGAUGUGAAAGCCCACGGCUCAACCGUGGAGGGUCAUUGGAAACUGGGGAACUUGAGUGCAGAAGAGAAGAGCGGAAUUCCACGUGUAGCGGUGAAAUGCGUAGAGAUGUGGAGGAACACCAGUGGCGAAGGCGGCUCUUUGGUCUGUAACUGACGCUGAGGCGCGAAAGCGUGGGGAGCGAACAGGAUUAGAUACCCCGUAGGUACCGUCC